rnacentral:rRNA from 1 species
UACAGAGGUCUCAAGCGUUGUUCGGAUUCAUUGGGCGUAAAGGGUGCGUAGGUGGCGGGGUAAGUCAGGUGUGAAAUUUCGGAGCUUAACUCCGAAACUGCAUCUGAUACUGCCUUGCUUGAGGACUGGAGAGGAGACUGGAAUUCACGGUGUAGCAGUGAAAUGCGUAGAUAUCGUGAGGAAGACCAGUGGCGAAGGCGGGUCUCUGGACAGAUCCUGACACUGAGGCACGAAGGCCAGGGGAGCAAACGGG